rnacentral:piRNA from 1 species
UCCCAAGUUACUCACAGUGUUUGCAAAGC